GCGACAGCCCGCGGGCACAGUCGCCACUGCCCACUCCGAGGCCCAGCCCACCGGAAAUGACGGCGCCGGCAGUGCUGACGUUAGAGGGUCUCGGUCACUCCCAGUCACGCGAGUCACGCUGGGGGUGGGUCAGGGUGCCUAGCUGCACCUCUGGGCCCACGGGCUUCCCACCCACCCCCGACACGGUGCAUCUUGGGUUGAAGUCAAGGGACCAGGCGGCACCAGGUCACCUUCUUCCAGGAGUGCCCCCACCCCUGGAGGCGGGCCCGCCGCCCUCCCUGCCCUCAGACUUCCCAGCGCUGGGCACCCGCUGCACUGGACGCUCAGGCCCCGUCUGGCCCGCCCUCCAGUCUGAGGUCAGCGCCUGGCAGGGCACCCUCUCUUUUGUACCCUUUGGGACGCUCACGCUCAGAGCCCAGGGCCUUGCUGUGAGAGGCCCAGGCCACGCAGGAGACCCAUGUUGACGAUGCCAGACUCAGCCCCAGCUGAGCCCAGGCUUUGAGUCCUCCCAAGACGCCAGACGCCAGAUACGGAAGUGGAGAAGCCCCCAGAUGGUUCCAGCACCCAGCUGUGCCGAGUUAACCCCUCCCCUAGCCAUUCCGGUCUUCCCAGCUGAGACCCUGGACGUGGUGGAGCAGACGCAAGCCACCUCAGCUGGGCCCUGCCUGAAUUACUGGCUAAUGAAUUUACAAUAAAUGUUUCUUGUUUUACAUCAGAUUUGGUGGGGAGAGAGGCAGUACCCAGAACAUGCAUUAAAGUGACAAUCAGGAUUCCACAUCGCCAGCAUCACCUGUAUCCUUUGGGUGAUUAUGAAUGAAAUUACUAUCAGCAUUACACAUUUUUGUGUGUGUGUGUGUGAAUAUCUGUCUUCGUUUCUCCUGGGUAAAUACCACAAGUGGAAUUACAGAGUUAUAUAGUAAUUGUAUAUUCAGCUUUAUAAGAACAUAUAAAUGCUCCCCAUCCAAGCCAGUAUUUGUUAUGUCAGGGUUUGUGUUGUUUUUUUUUUCUUCCCCAUCCUGAUAGGUAUAUAAUGGUUACCAUG